rnacentral:lncRNA from 1 species
UCGAACCAUCGUACGACUCUAUUCUGGGUACCCGCCAGGUUGGUGGAAAGGCCACCUUCAAAAGGUCCUCUUGGAAAGGGGCACUUUUGACUCUUAAGAACUCGAUCGGAUUGCUGAUGACUAGAGUGUCAGCCAGCUUCCGACGGAGGUCCUCUAUGAAUCGUGGUGUAAGAGUCCUAUCAGUGCGACUCUUACUGGGUCCAGCUCUUGAUUUUUCUGGCUCUGGACCUUUCUUUUUCUCCGUAGUUGGAGAAUUGUGAGAAGCCGAUUCACACGCUCUCUUGCGGGUGAUGGUUCUCUG